rnacentral:misc_RNA from 1 species
GGCGAUCGGCGUGUGAGGGUAUGUUGGAUCCCUGCUCGUGCAGCGACAACGUCCCCGUCCAUGCCCCUUCAUUAUUUGGCUCAAGUGCUUAAUUGCCUUGGUCUCCUCGGGUUGCCUGUGUUGCAUACCAAUCUUGAAGGCAUUGGUUYGGCUAAAAAUGUCCCGUCUCCACUUAGUGCUGCUUUCCUCGUGAUUGUGGUGCGAGGUGGAACCAAAAAGCAGUCGACGUGUAUCCACUUCUUUUCGUGCGUGCACGAAGGAAUGUUGGCCCAUGUCGGCUUGCUCGAUCUCUCGGUUGCGGAACAUAAUUUGGGUAUGUGGCCCUCGGGCCCCUAUUCUGCCCAUAAAAUAAGCGUUCUACGCUUCGUGCGAACGACUGUCGUUCCCGCUUUGGUCGGGUCCUUGUGGCUCGGGUCAUGCGGUGCGGCGUCGGUGAAGGAAUGCUA